GUCAGAGACCAGGAUUAGAUGGGCCAUUGGCCUGAUCCUGAAGGCAUUUCCUUAUGUUCUUAAGCUUCUGUCCCUCACCUACAGCUCUUAGGGCUUAUCCACGCUUUUGCCCUGUUCUUUCCAGGUAUGGUCCCAACAUUAAAGCUCUAUGUCCUCUCUGGCCCCAUGCUUCCCCCCAAAAAACCUGCUGUUUAGUGCUCAAUUGGAGCAAACGUCAAUUUGAGUUUGAGUCUUAACGAGUGGGAUUUUGUGGGGAACGUGCUGGAGGGCAGUGGAAAGGGCACUCAGACACAGAGCUUUAAAGCACUGACCAUACCUGGAGAGGGUGAAGGAAAAAUAAGUGUGGAUAGGCCCUUAGACUCCAUGCUCCAAGGCAGCCCACUGGUUUUCCAUGACUGGAUCAGGCUUGGACUUUGCCUGUACAGCAGUCAGCUCUGAUUCCAUCUGUCUUAACUGCUAUUAUGCAUGUGGGGCUUCCUACAUUUCUUUGUAGCUCAACCUUCCCACACACUACUUAUUAAAUUUCCCUCAGGCCCUGUUCCUGGGGCUUCUGUCUCUCAGAUACCUAAGGCCCAAUAUCACAACAUUUCAUUGAAUGUACCAUAUUGGCCCAAACAUAAGCCACUCCCCCCCCCCCAAAUUCUGAUUGUGAAAAGUGUGGCUUAUAUUCCAGGAGGGCCAUUGGGGGUGCAGGGGUAAGGCUACCAGCAAAGCGAUGCAGCUCCCCCCCCCCGGAAGCAGCCUGGGAGCGUGGGACAAUGGUGUGCCACCCACCCACGACUUCCAAGCCUUCCCCGCUGCCAGCUUGGGGAGGUAGUGCCAGGAGUGCCAGGAGACGGUAAUGUCGGGAGGCGGGCACACAGCACGCUUGGAACUGAGCGCCGGCUUGGGGAGUGGGGCCCUGAGUGCCAGCCAUCCCCCAUUCAGGGCGGUAGUGCCGGGAGGCGGGCCACAUCCACAAAUAAGCCUUGAAUUCUAAAGGUGCAGCUUAUUUGCGGCUAAGUCUUACAUUCGGGCCAAUACGGUAAGCAUUUCUUUCUUUCUUUUAUAUUUCAUCUGUUUCAUUUGGUGAUGUUAAAUGCCCACCCUCAAUUCCCUCCAAUGGACUAGGUUACUCUGUGUGAGUUCACACCCACAGAAGCUUGGUCCUGAUGCCAUUUCUAAAAUCCGACGAGUGAUACUCUGGAAGGAAAUGCUCCUUUGCACAAAGAAUAAAGGUAUCUAUCAAGUGAAGAGAGGAUCUACGCAAACAUCAAAGACCCUGAUUUCAAUGACUCCUCCACCAAACUGUUUGGGAGGUGAUUCCCAGCUUCAGACAGUUUGAAACAUGAGGAUAAGGCAGCUACAUUCUCAGUCUCUUUACCUUAUAAAGCAGGUG